rnacentral:rRNA from 1 species
UACGUAGGGGGCAAGCGUUGUCCGGAAUCAUUGGGCGUAAAGAGCGCGUAGGCGGCCCAGUAAGUCCGCUCUGAAAGUCAGGGGCUCAACCCCUGGAUGCGGGUGGAUACUGCCGGGCUAGAGUCCGGAAGAGGCGAGUAGAAUUCCUGGUGUAGCGGUGGAAUGCGCAGAUAUCAGGAGGAAUACCCAUAGCGAAGGCAGCUCGCUGGGACGGUACUGACGCUGAGGCGCGAAAGCGUGGGGAGCGAACAGG